UCAAAUUUUUCAACUAACUGCCCUCACAC
rnacentral:sRNA from 1 species